UUCUAAUUAGGCAAAGUGGCAGAGACUCCCUGCCUGAAUCUUACAUAUUCUCUAGAGACUUCCUUGUGUUCCAGCAAUGCCUCUGUUAGGUCUCUAACCUAACCUAAGAUGCUAUUUUGCUAGCUUGCUCUGGCUUGUUUAAUGUUGUUGUGAUUGUCUGAGAACCCCCAAAACUGCAGCCAAGAAAGUAAGGCCACAAUGUCAGUCACUGGAAACAUGCACCUCAGAAGACACCUGGUCUACAAGUCACUUUUCCAACAGGAGUCGCCUAACCCUAGAGAAGCGUCAUUUGGGAGACAUCAAAUUCCCUGAGCUUGUCCGCAUACAACAGCUUGUGAGAGCUCCUGAGGAAAUAGAGAUGAUUAAAGAAAUUAUCAUCGGAUGGCAUGCAGAUCCUCUCCUGCCCUUGGAGUCAUUAUUGCCCUCAAUUCAAGUGUCUGAAAGCAUGACUGAUGAAAGGUAAGACUCCAUUCCUGGCUAGCUGCCACUGGCCACACCCCACGAAGAAUCCCAACAGCCCAGUUUGAAGACUUGUCAUUAGGUAAGAACCCAAUUUAGCAUCUCUAUGUGUGGUUUGCA
ensembl:lincRNA